rnacentral:rRNA from 1 species
AGAGUUUGAUCAUGGCUCAGGACGAACGCUGGCGGCGCGCCUAACACAUGCAAGUCGAACGAGCGAGAGAGAGCUUGCUUUCUCGAGCGAGUGGCGAACGGGUGAGUAACGCGUGAGGAACCUGCCUCAAAGAGGGGGACAACAGUUGGAAACGACUGCUAAUACCGCAUGAGCCCACGGGUCGGCAUCGACCAGAGGGAAAAGGAGCAAUCCGCUUUGAGAUGGCCUCGCGUCCGAUUAGCUAGUUGGUGAGGUAACGGCCCACCAAGGCAACGAUCGGUAGCCGGACUGAGAGGUUGAACGGCCACAUUGGGACUGAGACACGGCCCAGACUCCUACGGGAGGCAGCAGUGGGGAAUAUUGCACAAUGGGGGAAACCCUGAUGCAGCGACGCCGCGUGGAGGAAGAAGGUCUUCGGGUUGUAAACUCCUGUUGUUGAGGAAGAUAAUGACGGUACUCAACAAGGAAGUGACGGCUAACUACGCGCCAGCAGCCGCGGUAAAACGUAGGUCACAAGCGUUGUCCGGAAUUACUGGGUGUAAAGGGAGCGCAGGCGGGAAGACAAGUUGGAAGUGAAAUCCAUGGGCUCAACCCAUGAACUGCUUUCAAAACUGUUUUUCUUGAGUAGUGCAGAGGUAGGCGGAAUUCCCGGUGUAGCGGUGGAAUGCGUAGAUAUCGGGAGGAACACCAGUGGCGAAGGCGGCCUACUGGGCACCAACUGACGCUGAGGCGCGAAAGCGUGGGGAGCGAACAGGAUUAGAUACCCUGGUAGUCCACGCUGUAAACGAUGAAUGCUAGGUGUAGGGGGUAUCGACCCCUCCUGUGCCGGAGUAAACGCAAUAAGCAUUCCGCCUGGGGAGUACGGCCGCAAGGUUGAAACUCAAAGGAAUUGACGGGGGCCCGCACAAGCAGCGGAGCAUGUUGUUUAAUUCGAUGCAACGCGAAGAACCUUACCAGGUCUUGACAUCCAAUUAAAGUCAUAGAGAUAUGAUGUCUCUUCGGAGGAAUUGAGACAGGUGGUGCAUGGUUGUCGUAAGCUCGUGUCGUGAGAUGUUGGGUUAAGUCCCGCAACGAGCGCAACCCUUAUAAUCAGUUACUAACGGGAAAGCCGAGGACUCUGAUAAGACUGCCGGGGACAACUCGGAGGAAGGUGGGGACGACGUCAAAUCAUCAUGCCCCUUAUGACCUGGGCUACAAACGUGCUACAAUGGCGACUACAAAGAGAAGCGAGUCUGUGAAGAUAAGCGGAUCUCAAAAAAGCCGUCCCAGUUCGGAUUGUGGGCUGCAACCCGCCCACAUGAAGUUGGAGUUGCUAGUAAUCGCGGAUCAGAAUGCCGCGGUGAAUACGUUCCAGGGCCUUGUACACACCGCCCGUCACACCAUGGGAGUUGGGAGCACCCGAAGCCGGUGAGCUAACGCAAGGAGCAGCCGUCUAAGGUGAGACCGAUGACUGGGGUGAAGUCGUAACAAGGUA